rnacentral:rRNA from 1 species
GGGUGGUCGGAACUGAAGUGUUCCCCCUCGUCGGGGAGCGGUCCGAUCUCCGAGGAGCCUGGCUCGCGGACGCAGUUGUCUCCCGCCCGAAGGACGCCGCAGCCGGUCGGGCAAUGCAAGCAAGACGGCCUGAAGGUCGGACAUCGAAGAUCGAUCGCCGGCGUUCUGCGUCGGCGGUCGGUGCGGUCCGUCAGUGGCCCGUCGCCCGACCGAGGUGUCACGAAGCCCAUCAGGGCCUCCACGUCCGCUCCUAAUGGAUGCCGGGACUGGCUGUCGAAGGCCGACCCCGCGGCUCGCUGCGCACUCCUCGAGAGUGGCCGAGUUCGCGUGGAAUGGCCGUUGGCGACGGCGGACCCGUUGCGGAGCAGGCGGCUCGCGGCGAGUAGGUCGGUCACCCACCCGACCCGUCUUGAAACACGGACCAAGGAGUCUAACAUGUGCGCGAGUCGUCGGGUCUUGAACAGGCCCGUAGGCGCAAUGAAAGCAAAGGUCGACACCAGUCGGCCGAGUUGGGAUCCGGCUUCCCUUCAAAGGAGGCCGGCGCACCAACGACCCGUCCCGUGCGGCUCGCCGCUGGGACGGAGUGUGAGCGCACACGUUGGGACCCGAAAGAUGGUGAACUAUGCCCGGACAGGACGAGGCCAGAG